rnacentral:rRNA from 1 species
GACGAACGCUGGCGGCGUGCUUAACACAUGCAAGUCGAACGGAGUUAAGGAGCUUGCUUCUUAACUUAGUGGCGGACGGGUGAGUAACGCGUGAGCAACCUGCCCUUGCGUGGGGGAUAACGUUUGGAAACGAACGCUAAUACCGCAUAACGUACCGAGAUUGCAUGGUUUUGGUACCAAAGAUUUAUUGCUGAAAGAUGGUCUCGCGUCUGAUUAGCUAGUUGGUGAGGUAACGGCUCACCAAGGCGACGAUCAGUAGCCGGUCUGAGAGGAUGAACGGCCACAUUGGGACUGAGAUACGGCCCAGACUCCUACGGGAGGCAGCAGUGGGGAAUAUUGGGCAAUGGGCGAAAGCCUGACCCAGCAACGCCGCGUGAAGGAAGAAGGCCUGGUGUAACUUCUUUACCUAGGACGGAAGAACGUGACGGUACCUGGAGAAAAAGACGAACGGACUAACUAACGUGCCAGCAGCCG